rnacentral:lncRNA from 1 species
AAGCCUCGUCGCAGCUUGUCAGCUCCUCUGGAUGGUGGCACUCCGGUGGUGCUAAGGUUCGACGGUGGUUUGGUCGGAUGAUUUCGCGGAUCUGAAUACCUUUGCUUUCUUCUGCUGGGGAUCUCUGGUGGAGGCGUGAGAGUUUCAAUGGUGGUGAGCUUCGGCUUGUUUUUCAAUGUUCUCUGGUGACACACGCUUAGGAGGUGGGGGCGCGUGGCAGCGGCGCGUGUGCGGUGACAGUGCAAGUGGCAGUGUGUCGUGACGG